GAACAGCUGCUUCUUUUUGGUUGCUGGUGGCAGGGAUAUUAUGGAGGUAACAGAGGCAAAGAAGCACCACUCUGACAUGGAAAAUAAUUUCCGUUGUCAGAUUAUUCUUGUUUAACUGGGUUUAACUUUAUAGUAGGGUUAAAUGUGGCCUUUGAAGGUUGGUGAGUAACAACAUCUUUUAAAACAUGGUGAAUUCCAACAAGAAAAGACCAAGGCAACAGACGCAUGAGAGUGAGGUAUUUACCUGAGGGCGAUUGAAGUCACCAGCUUAACAGUAGUGGAAAGACCUUAAGCCAGAGAACUCCAGGUUCAAGAACCACCACCUGCAAACUUGGCAAAUUUGGACAAAUGUCUCUCUGAGUUUCAUUGUCUUCAUCCACAAAUAAAGCAAGAUUACUUCACCUACAGAAUUGCGCAAUUAUGACCAGACCACGAGGGUAUGAAGGAUGAGGAAAAGGGAGCAGUCAUGGAGCUGUUUUGGAGGGAGUCAUAAUUCCUUAGAC